GCAAGUCGAACGGACUCUUCGGAGUUAGUGGCGCACGGGUGAGGAACACGUGGGAACAUACCCUUUGGUAAGGAAUAAUAUCUGGAAACGGAUACUAAUACCUUAUAAUGACUUCGGUCCAAAGAUUUAUCGCCAAAGGAUUGGCCCGCGUAUGAUUAGAUAGUUGGUGAGGUAAUGGCUCACCAAGUCUACGAUCCCUAGCUGGUCUGAGAGGAUGAUC
rnacentral:rRNA from 1 species